UACGUAGGGGCCAAGCGUUGUCCGGAAUCAUUGGGCGUAAAGAGCGUGUAGGCGGUCCGGUAAGUCCGCUGUGAAAGUCGGGGGCUCAACCCUCGAAUGCCGGUGGAUACUGUCGGGCUAGAGUGCGGAAGAGGCGAGUGGAAUUCCUGGUGUAGCGGUGAAAUGCGCAGAUAUCAGGAGGAACACCCGUAGCGAAGGCGGCACUCUGGGCCGAUACUGACGCUGAGGAGCGAAAGCGUGGGGAGCGAACAGG
rnacentral:rRNA from 1 species